AGUGAACGCUGGCGGCAGGCCUAACACAUGCAAGUCGAACGAGUGGCGGACGGGUGAGGAAUACAUCGGAAUCUACCCGGUCGUGGGGGAUAACGUAGGGAAACUUACGCUAAUACCGCAUACGAUUGAAUGUGCCGAGAUGGGAUUAGCUAGUUGGGGGGGUAACGGCUCACCAAGGCGACGAUCCGUAGCUGGUCUGAGAGGAUGACCAGCCACACUGGAACUGAGACACGGUCCAGACUCCUACGGGAGGCAGCAGUGGGGAAUAUUGGACAAUGGGCGCAAGCCUGAUGCAGCCAUGCCGCGUGUGUGAAGAAGGCCUUCGGGUUGUAAAGCCCUUUUGUUGGGGAAGCGGUACCCGAAGAAUAAGCACCGGCUAACUUCGUGCCAGCAGCCGCGGUAAUUC
rnacentral:rRNA from 1 species